GACCCUUCUGAAUCAUCCAAGUCCAUAUCUGAAGUGACAGACUCCUCAGGGGAGUCUAGAUGUUUCCUCUUACAUGCUCUCUUCCAAGGUACCUCCCUGGAGAGAUCCUCUGGAGAAAUUUCAGAAGGGAGGGACUCACCCAAUGGGGCAUCCUGGGGCAUUGAGUCUCUACAUCUGUGGGGGAGGGAUGGUAGAAAGGCAGACACCGGCACUUUUGGGGGAAGAGCGCUUGAAUCCAAGAGUGGAGACAUCAAGGGUGACAGCACACUCCUCAUCACCUCGAAGGCACCACGACCUGGGUCCAAGGAAGCCUCUGGCUCUGAAGAGCCAGGAAGCUCCUCUCGCACCAUGGAGGUAGGCUCUGAGGCUGAUGUAGGUUCCGAGCUCACCUGCACCAUUGCCCCAAGAGGUAGAUUCGGAUCCGACAAAGGUCCGAUCUGACUCUCCUCUCCAGACUCGAUGGGGGGAGCAUCAGCUCCCAGACCCUUUGUCUGAAGAUGGUAUCGAAGAGGUUGGAGCAGAAGUUGGGACCAAAAACCCUGGGGGGAGUCUCGGACCCGAUGGUUCCACCACAAACAUAUCCAAGCACUCCAGCUCCAAAACCACUCGGGUCAGAGAGGAGGAAUAGAAGAAGGGGCAGUAGCAGAAGUUGGUUCCAAUUCCUUUUGGGCUGAACUCGAAAGGAUCUUGGCUAGAGCCGGAGUCCGAAGCAACCUCUUGACCACCCACUUCACGUCAUCAUCUGAUAGACUCCUGGAUGAUCAACAGGAUGGGGCUAAAGAUUUUACACUGCCAGCCACAGACUGUAAAAUGGGUGACUGAGGAACUGAGGAGACUGGCUCCAAGGUUGGGGACUGGAUCUGUAUGUGGAUCCUAGUCAGUUCCGGCAAAACUAGUGGAACCGAAGGAGCAGUCUUUUCGGGCCCAAAAGCAUUCAGGUCCAAAGUCUUAUUUUUGUAGACUUGUCAGAUUUUGGGGAUUGAGAUGAUUUGGAAGAGGUCUGGUUCCCUUCUAGUACCUCAGCAAAAGGUAGCAACCCCUUGAUCAUUAGUUUGUUUCUAUGUUCCUGCAGUACCCUAGAACUGAAUCCAUGAUAGAUGGAACCUGAGUCUUGCAGGUGUACUGCACCUAAACAGUAGGCACAACUAGUGUGCCCAUCCAUUAAGGAUAUUUUCUGAGAACAGUAGUCACACUUUUUGAAGCCUGACUGCUUCACUUCUUUUCCUUCCUUGGACAUAGUGAAAAAAACCACAACAACAACAAAGAACAAUGCCCAGAAACUAGGUUAAUGAUAGAGAUAAUAAGGCUAGCAAAAAGCUAUAAAGCUAUCAAACACACCAGACUAUGACAAAAAGUAAUUAUAUAACUGCUACUCUACUUUUUUUUUUUUUUAACACUCAAGCAGGGGAGGGAAACAGACUAGAGGAGAGGUCUCUAACUAAAACGACGAUCUCCUCUAGCCAGAGGAGACAUCUCUAACUUAAAUGACAAAACCUCUUAGGAUAGAAAGAAGGAAAGAGUUACUCUCUAAUUUAAAUGGACUCAAAAUGGACAGAAAGGAGAAAGAAAAAUGAAUCCUCUAACUUAAUUCAUUAAAGGUAAAGUAAAGUUUUAAAGGAUGGGAUAGGGAGUUGUAGGCCUAACGAAAGUGACGGCCAGCCACAACAAACACAACAAGCAACAAACUUAGGUAUUCACCACAGCUGAGACCUAAAACCACUGUCAAUUAGCACAAACAACCAAUAUAUAUAUAAAUUAUUUAGAAAUAAACGAAUAAUAUCCAAAAAAUUAUUUUGUUUAGCCUGAGCCUAGUGAGAAGCACCUGAUCUAGUUUAGAGGCAAACAAGAUCUGAGUUAUCUUCCCUAAGCAUGAUGGGAUAGGGUAUAGCCUUGAGCCAGUGGAAGCUCUCGAGCUUUAGUAUUAGGCUGAGACAGAACUGAUGCUCAGUUCCGAACCCAACAAGCAAGAAUGAAGAAGAGAUAGGCGAACAUAACAUUAUAGAUUAGUAUAUAGUUCUUACAUUACACCUAGAAUGUCAUAUCAUGCUCAUAUUAUUUAAUGAAUCUUUUAUUUACAUGGGGUUUUCUGUCCUGUACCAAACCUAUCAAGAGAAAUUCAGUAAGAUGAUUCACAAGUCACAUCUCACUUACCACACACACUUUAUAAUGAUAUUAAGUAAAACAGUUACACAUCUGCACUGAUCCCCUCUUUUUGGCCGUAUGCAAUUUGUAUAUGUUUUGAGGUAUUGAGACAACCCAAGCUGAACCCCCCCCCCCCCACCAUGUCUCUCUCUCUCUUUUUAACUACCUUCAGCUCUUACACAAAGUAGGUUAUAUCUCUUAACAAAUGUUUCACAGCACUUUCCUUCCAUGUUGGUGCAUCAUUUCUUUUGGGCAUCUAGUUUGCACUGUUGAGACAGUUGGCAAACAGUGGCUGACUACAGACAAGGCCGGAAAGAACUAACUGUGUAAUGAGGUUGUGUCAUGACUGUGGAUCUGGAGAUGGAAAGAAACACUGCAAAUCACUGUAUUCAGUUUAACACAGCAGAUCCACAGAGGGAGGCAGUAAAUAGAAUGAAAGGCUGUGGUGCAAGCACUGUGGGUGCUACUUAAACAAGUAUGUAGCAGUAUAGGGCAGAUUCAAAAGUUCAGGGUUCACUUUAAUGGAAGGGUAACUUUCAAGUACACAAAAAUAUAUCAACUUAUAAAACUAUGCUAAAGUUAACUCCCAGGAGAAGUUUCCUAAAUCUUUAAUAAACAGUAAUUUGGGAUUCCAUACAGAGCAACAGUUUCACUUACUUAUGACCACAUGGUGAGUGAUAGCACAAGUUUGUUCCUGGAUUUACUUUGUGACUUAUCCUGACCCAACAUUAUUCUUUCACUCUCUCACCUACUUUCUGGCCCACUCAUGAGCUCUUAAUGUUUAAGAAUGGGGAGAAUUGACUGUCAGAGUUAAACCAACACUUGCUAUGAAGUAGUAAAAAAUGAAAUAGUUGCAAGUGUUCUACUACAUUUUUUGUAAAGUAGCUUUACUUUAAUGCAACAUAUAGACACACACACACACACUCACUCACUCAUUCACUCACUCACUUAAGCAUACUAACUUUAUACAGAGAUUUUAUCACAUGGGUGCUUCCUGAAGUUCUAAUGACAAUGAACAAGAUUCUUGGAAUAUCAGAACUACAAAUGUAGAUAUAGGGGAAUAUAUAUUAUUUCUGAGGCUGCAGUCUCUUGGGAUUUUCCUCAACCCAGAGGUGCAGGAUUAUUGGACUACAUACAAGCAACAUAAGUGCAAGGGCCACAACUGCCAUUUUGGGGGUCUGCAAAGGCUAAGCUGCCCCUCAGCUCAAAUGCUUUAAAAGUGAGGCAGCACUUUUUAGACUUCACUGUUUAUGUUUGAAAUGAGGUUUAUUUUUUCUAAGUUUCCAGAUUCCCAGUAUCAGGUCUUGCAGUUCUGACAUGAAGUCUCACUGUAAUAUUUAAGCAUAUGGCAAAUAGCUUUCAUAUCCAUAGCAUUUUUGAAGGGUUUGAAUCAAAUGAAGCUAGUAUGUAUUGGUUAUACAUUCAGUACAAUAGUAUCACUGGCAAGGCUUGAAAUAAAAAUUGCUCUCAGCAUUUUCAUCACACACAAAUACAUGUAUGUACUGCUACAAAUAUAUAAUCUUUGUGGCAAAGAACACAAUGCAUAACUUUUUCUGAAAGAACAUGAUUUUUAGGGGAAAAAUCAAAUAACUGAACUUGUGUAUAACUUUCAGAAAACCUAUAAAAUUACUGUUACAUCAAUAAUGUAAGAAAGUCUGCUUACUGCCCUCCGAGAACACCUCUGCAUUAUUUGUCUGAAAAGCAAUCUCUCAUUAAAAGUCUCAUUUGCUGCACAUUAUGAAAACAAGAA